AUGUCUCGUAAGAGGGCUCAGCCCCUGCUGCUUAUCCGCCUGGUCCUUGGGGCGGGUCGGUGCUGCGGCCUGCAGCAUCCCCGUCGUCCCGCCGGGGCCGCGAGGUGCCAGGGCUCGCCUCGGGCCUGCUGUGCCGUUUGCCUCAGCUCCCAACCCUUGCUCCGGCCCCAGCAGAAGUUGUUAGCAGACAGCCAGGACGGCGUAAGGACCGGGCAAACACGCUUGCACCGCUGGGUCUGCCAGCGAGGCCGCCGAAACGCUCAGCACCGCGCUCCCCAGCCGCUCCUUCCAGCUCCCCGUAAAUCCACCGGCGAGCGCUUGGCUCUCUGCCUCGCCCCGUCCUGCUGGCAGGGGAGGCAGCCUCGGCAGUGGCUUCCUGAGCUGCUUUGGAGCCUGCUGCUGGAACAGAAAAGCCGGGAGCGUCAGCCGGAGCCUGCCCGGGCGGCCGGGGCCGUGCCUGCGGAGCGGGGCAGGCGCUGCCAAGCGGGCCCCACAGCUGGCACCGAGGCUGGGGUUUGUCGCUUGUUUCGCCAGAGGCGUUUGCAGGAGAGCAGAACACGGCCUGAGUGGCAGAGGGAGCCCCCCCAGCCCCUUGUGCGGUCCCCCCCCGUGGCUGUUUGCAGCCAUCAGCAGGCUCUGGAGCUGCAAGCACACCGUGCCCAGGUGCCGCAGCCCCCCUGGGGACGGCUCCCGGAGCGAGGACCUGCAGGGAGCUCCUGAGCCCCCUUCCCUCAUUGCACACCUUAUAAACCCCCCCCCAAAUCCAAAGCAAGGCAUUGCUCUGGCAGCCCCCUUGUCCCGAAUCCCAACCCCUGCUCCAUGACCCCUCUCCUGCAGCCUGGACCGGCUCCUUCAGCCCCGUGGGUGCGGGCAUCUUUGGGACCCCUGGGCGCACGCAUCCUUGGCACGCUUGGAGAGCUCUGGUGAUACACAGAUGGGAGGAUGGGGUUAGCCCAGAGUGACCGCCCCACAGGAUGGAGGCACCCCACAGCCUGCAGACCCAAAGCAGACGUGGGGCCGGGUGGCGACGUGCCCAGGGGACCACGGCCAGAGCCAUGCAAACGCCCCCAGAAAGGUGCCGGGUGCCCCCGGGUUUGCCUCUCGCAGGGUUUGGGUGGGUGGGCUGCAGGGCACAGAGCCCCACCGGCCGGGUUCGGGGCGGGGGGGGGCAGGCAGGUGGGAGGGCUUCAGCUGGGCUGGGGUGGGAAGAAGCCCCCCGAAAUGGAUCCACGACGUUUUGGUGAGCGCUGGCAGCAGAGACGAAGGCGUCGAAAGAGCCACGUCCUUGUCAUGCCCCACGGCCAAUGUCCAGCCCCUCUGGGGGUCACCGAAGCAUCAAGAAAGCAGAAAAUGUGAGGGAGAAGCUUUCAGGUGGGUUCAAGUCCUUGAUUUAAGGAGCAGAGGCUUGAAAGAAAUUGCCUCAGCGCGAGGGGCAGCUCACAAAAGGCCGGCUUCAGAGAAGAAAAAUCUUUGCAAUUCCUGCUCCAUAAAUCACAGCGCUCACCUUCAAGAACAGGAAAAAAAAAAAAAAAGUAUAUUAGUAUCGAGAAGAAAAAUCGUUACGUGGCCCUCUGGGAGUGGAGACUCAGCGGUUUGGCCUCGGCAAAGAAUAAAUCCAGCCGGGGAGGUAUUUGUGCA
ensembl:lncRNA